GCGAGCGGCGGAUGGGUGAGUAACACGUGGGGAACCUGCCCCUAAGUCUGGGAUACCAUUUGGAAACAGGUGCUAAUACCGGAUAAUAAAGCAGAUCGCAUGAUCAGCUUUUGAAAGGCGGCGUAAGCUGUCGCUAAGGGAUGGCCCCGCGGUGCAUUAGCUAGUUGGUAAGGUAACGGCUUACCAAGGCGACGAUGCAUAGCCGAGUUGAGAGACUGAUCGGCCACAUUGGGACUGAGACACGGCCCAAACUCCUACGGGAGGCAGCAGUAGGGAAUCUUCCACAAUGGACGCAAGUCUGAUGGAGCAACGCCGCGUGAGUGAAGAAGGUUUUCGGAUCGUAAAGCUCUGUUGUUGGUGAAGAAGGAUAGAGGUAGUAACUGGCCUUUAUUUGACGGUAAUCAACCAGAAAGUCACGGCUAACUACGUGCCAGCAGCCGCGGUAAUACGUAGGUGGCAAGCGUUGUCCGGAUUUAUUGGGCGUAAAGCGAGCGCAGGCGGAAAAAUAAGUCUAAUGUGAAAGCCCUCGGCUUAACCGAGGAACUGCAUCGGAAACUGUUUUUCUUGAGUGCAGAAGAGGAGAGUGGAACUCCAUGUGUAGCGGUGGAAUGCGUAGAUAUAUGGAAGAACACCAGUGGCGAAGGCGGCUCUCUGGUCUGCAACUGACGCUGAGGCUCGAAAGCAUGGGUAGCGAACAGGAUUAGAUACCCUGGUAGUCCAUGCCGUAAACGAUGAGUGCUAAGUGUUGGGAGGUUUCCGCCUCUCAGUGCUGCAGCCUAACGCAUUAAGCACUCCGCCUGGGG
rnacentral:rRNA from 1 species